rnacentral:rRNA from 1 species
UACGUAGGGUGCAAGCGUUGUCCGGAAUUAUUGGGCGUAAAGAGCUCGUAGGCGGUUUGUCGCGUCUGCUGUGAAAACUCAGGGCUUAACCCUGAGCCUGCAGUGGGUACGGGCAGACUAGAGUGUGGUAGGGGAGAUCGGAAUUCCUGGUGUAGCGGUGGAAUGCGCAGAUAUCAGGAGGAACACCGGUGGCGAAGGCGGAUCUCUGGGCCAUAACUGACGCUGAGGAGCGAAAGCAUGGGGGGCGAACAGG